GCUUACGGCCACACCCCCCUGAGAGCUUCUGAUCUUGGAAGCUAAGCAUGGCUGGGGCUGGUUAGUACUUGGAUGGGAGACCGCCUGGGAGUGGCCAAUGACCCCUGCAAGUC
rnacentral:rRNA from 1 species